ensembl:lncRNA
GUGGGAUAUAGGAUAUGGGAUAUGGGGUGUGGGAUAUGGGGGGGUGGGGUUGGGGUGGGGGAUAUGGGAUGUGGGGUGGGGGAUAUGGGGUGUGGGAUAUGGGGGUGGGAUAUGGGAUGUAGGAUAAAGGAUAUGGGGGUGGGAGGUGGGAUAUGGGAUAUAGGAUAUGGGGGUGAGAUGUGGGAGGUGGGAUAUGGGAUAUAGGAUAUGGGGUGUGGGAUAUGGGGGUGUGGGGUUGGGGUGGGGGAUAUGGGGUGGGGGAUAUGGGGUGGAGGAUAUGGGAUAUGGGGUGUGGGAUAUGGGGGUGUGGGGUUGGGGUGGGGGAUAUGGGAAGUGGGAUAUAGGAUAUGGGAUAUGGGGUGUGGGAUAUGGGGUCUAUAGGAUAUAGGGGCUAUAGGAUAUAGGAUCCAUAGGAUAUAGGUCCAUAAGAUAUAGGGGCUAUAGGAUAUAGGGUCCAUAGGAUAUAGGGGCUAUGGGGGCUAUAGGGACCAUAGGGUCUCUAGAGGAUAUAGGGGCUAUAGGACAUGGGCUAUAGGAUAUAGGGUGCAUAGGAUAUAGGGGCUAUAGGAUAUAGGAGCUAUAGGGUCUAUAGGAAAUAGGGUCUGUAGAAAAUAAGGUCUAUAGGAUAUAGGGGUAUAGGAUAUAGGGGCCAUAGGAUAUAGGGUCUAUAGGGUCCAUAGAAUAUAGGGUCUAUAGCAUAUAGGGUCCAUAGGAUAUAGGGGCUAUAGGGUCUAUAGGAAAUAGGGUCUGUAGGAAAUAAGGUCUAUAGGAUAUAGGGGCUAUAGAAUAUAGGAUCUAUAGGAUAUAGGGGCUAUAGGAUAUAGGGGUAUAGGAUAUAGGGGACAUCGGAUAUAAGGGCUAUAGGGUCGAUAGGAAAUCGGGUCUAUAGGAUGUAUAGGGGCUAUAGGAUAUAGGCUGUAUAGGAUAUAGGGGCUAUAGGAUAUAGGGGCUACAGGAUAUAGGGGUAUAGGAUAUAGGGGCCAUAGGAUAUAGGAUCUAUAGGGUCCAUAGAAUAUAGGGUCUAUAGCAUAUAGGGUCCAUAGGAUAUAGGGGCUAUAGGGUCUAUAGGAAAUAGGGUCUAUAGGAUAUAGGGCUAUAGGAUAUAGGGCUAUAGGAUAUAGGGCUAUAGGAUAUAGGGUCCAUAGGAUAUAGGGGCUAUAGGGAUAUAGGGCUAUAGGAUAUAGGGUCCAUAGGAUAUAGGGUCCAUAGGCUAUAGGGGCUAUAGGGUGUUUGGGGUCUAUAGGGCGCAUGGGGUCUCUGGGUGUGCCCACUCACCGCCGCUGUCCCCGUGGCUCCGCCCCCGCGCCCCCCGCCCGCCCCGCAUCCCCUCCAGGAGUUCCUUCACCGUGCGGGGGGGGGGCGGCGGCGCGCGCCCACCUGCGUGGGGAUGGGGGGGGGGGGGGGGGAGGGGGGACACGCGUGGGUGGGGGAACCCUCCGCUGUGACGUCACCGGGAUCCCCCCGCCUCCGCGCUGUGACGUCACGGGGAUGCCCUGCGGGGAUUCCCCCCCUCCCUCCUCCCACGGCCGCACGUGGGGAAACCCCCGCGGGGGGACCUUAAAGGGACAGAGCCCUCCUUAAAGUCUCUCUUAAAGGGCCAGCGGCCCAUUCCCCCCCCCUCCCUUAAAGGGCCAGCGCCCCAUUCCCAUCUCUCUUCAAGGGCCGGCGUCCCUUUCCCACCUCUCUUAAAGGGACAGCAUCCCCUCCCAGUUCCCUUAAAGGGCCAGCUCCGAAUUGCCAAGUCUCUUAAAGGACCAGCGUCCCAUUUCCAGCUCCAUCUCUCUUAAAGGGCCAGCACCCCGCUCAAGCCGCUCUUAAAGAGCCGGCCGCCCAUUCCCAACUCUCUUAAAGGGCCAGCGACCUCCUCCCUCCGCCCUUAAAGGGCCAGUACCCCCCCCCCAGCUCUCUUAAAGGGCCCGCAUUCCCCUUCCUGCUCUCUUAAAGGGCCACAGUCCCACUCCCCGCUCUCUUAAAGGGCCCGCGUACCUCUGUGGGGCCGCAUGUCUCCGUCGCGAGUUGCAAAUGGGGCCGGUGUGGCCCCGGGGGCCGUUAUAGCGGGGGGGAGGUGACACCGCAGUGACGGCGACAUUGGGGGGGGCGGGGUUAGGGGGUGCGGGGACAGCCGGGUUCCCCCGGGUGACGUCACGGGUGGGCCGCCCCCGCGUGAUGUCAGCGGAGCCUUUUGGAGAAGCGUGUCCCCCCUCCACGUGCCACCGCGGGGCGCGGGCCCUUUAAGGGCUUUCCCACGUCCCCCCCACCAGAGGGGCGCGGGCCCUUUAAGGGGGGGUGGGGAGGGGAGGGGAUCCCAGUGUGCAAUGGGGGGGAAUUGGGGGUCCUGGGGGGAUUCUGGGGGGCCGUGGAGGCACUCAGGGAUCUUUGGGGACAUCGGGGGUUCCCCCCCCCAGACCCCCAUUUCCCCCCCAAGACCCCCAUUCCCCCCCCCCGAGACCCC